rnacentral:rRNA from 1 species
GAAACCAACAGGGAUUGCCCCAGUAACGGCGAGUGAAGCGGCAACAGCUCAAAUUUGAAAUCUGGCUCCUUCGGGGUCCGAGUUGUAAUUUGCAGAAGAUGCUUCUGGUGUGGCCCCGGUCUAAGUCCCUUGGCACAGGACGUCGUAGAGGGUGAGAACCCCGUAUGUGACCGGUGGCCUAUGCCUCUGUGAAGCUCUUUCAACGAGUCGAGUUGUUUGGGAAUGCAGCUCAAAAUGGGUGGUAUAUUCCAUCUAAAGCUAAAUAUUGGCCAGAGACCGAUAGCGCACAAGUAGAGUGAUCGAAAGAUGAAAAGCACUUUGAAAAGAGAGUUAAAUAGUACGUGAAAUUGUUAAAAGGGAAGCUCUUGCUACCAGACGCGGGCGCCGUGGAUCAUCCUAGGUUUUCCUGGGUGCACUCGGCGGUGCUCGGGUCAGCAUCGGUUUUGGUGGUGGGACAAAGGCCCUGGGAAUGUAGCUCCUCUUCGGGGGAGUGUUAUAGCCCUCGGUGCAAUGCCACCUACCGGGACCGAGGACCGCGCUUCGGCGAGGAUGCUGGCAUAAUGGUCGUAAGCGGCCCGUCUUGAAACACGGACCAAGGAGUCUAACAUCUAUGCGAGUGUUUGGGUGGUAAACCCAUUCGCGGAAUGAAAGUGAACGUAGCUGAGAACCCCUCGGGGCGCACCAGCGACCGAUCCUGAUGUCUUCGGACGGAUUUGAGUAAGAGCAUAGCUGUUGGGACCCGAAAGAUGGUGAACUAUGCUUGCAUAGGGUGAAGCCAGAGGAAACUCUGGUGGAGGCUCGCAGCGGUUCUGACGUGCAAAUCGAUCGUCAAAUGUGGGCAUAGGGGCGAAAGACUAAUCGAACCCAUUC